UACGAGGGGGGCAAAUGUUGUUCGGAAUCACUGGGCGUAAAGGGAGCGUAGGCGGGUGUUUAAGUUAGGUGUUUAAUCCUGGGGCCCAACCCCAGUCGUGCACCUAAAACUGGACAUCUUGAAUAGUGGAGAGGUCAGUGGAAUUGGGGGUGUAGCGGUGGAAUGCGUAGAGAUCCCCAAGAACACCAGUUGCGAAGGCGGCUGACUGGACACAUAUUGACGCUGAGGCUCGAAAGCAUGGGGAGCAAACCGG
rnacentral:rRNA from 1 species